GUGAGUGUGCAUGUGUGUGUAUGUGUGUGUGAGUGUGCAUGAGUGUGUAUGUGUGUAGGUGAGUGUGCAUGUGUGUGUAUGUGUGUGGGUGAGUGUGGAGGUGAGUGUGUAUGUGUGUGUAUGUGUGUGUAUGUGUGGAGGUGAGUGUGCAUGUGUGUGUGUAUGUGUGGAGGUGAGUGUGCAUGUGUGUGUAUGUGUGGAGGUGAGUGUGUAUGUGUGUGUAUGUGUGUAGGUGAGUGUGCAUGUGUGUGCAUGUGUGUAGGUGAGUGU
ensembl:lncRNA